rnacentral:rRNA from 1 species
UACGGAGGAUGCGAGCGUUAUCCGGAUUUAUUGGGUUUAAAGGGUGCGUAGGCGGCCUUUUAAGUCAGCGGUGAAAGUCUGUGGCUCAACCAUAGAAUUGCCGUUGAAACUGGGGGGCUUGAGUAUGUUUGAGGCAGGCGGAAUGCGCGGUGUAGCGGUGAAAUGCAUAGAUAUCGCGCAGAACCCCGAUUGCGAAGGCAGCAUACCGGCGCCCUACUGACGCUGAGGCACGAAAGUGCGGGUAUCGAACAGG